rnacentral:rRNA from 1 species
UACGUAGGGGGCAAGCGUUGUCCGGAAUCAUUGGGCGUAAAGAGCGUGUAGGCGGCCCGGUAAGUCCGCUGUGAAAGUCCAGGGCUCAACCCUGGAAUGCCGGUGGAAACUGUCGGGCUAGAGUCCGGAAGAGGCGAGUGGGAUUCCUGGUGUAGCGGUGAAAUGCGCAGAUAUCAGGAGGAACACCAAUGGCGAAGGCAGCUCGCUGGGACGGUACUGACGCUGAGACGCGAAAGCGUGGGGAGCAAACAGG